CUUCAGUCCAUCCAGCCGCACCGAGUUCUUCUGGCUGGUGACAGUGUUGGCAAUGCCGUCACCCUGGCCUUGCUUCUCGGAGUACUUGAUUUCAUAGUCGAGAAUGAUGCCGUUGGGCCUUUCCGGGGGAGUCCAUGACAGUGUCAUGCUGUUCCCGGUGCUGCUGUGCAGAUGCAUGGUGGGCACGGCAGAUGGGGCUGCCUGGUUGGUCGUGAUGUUGACG
rnacentral:lncRNA from 1 species